CUUGAGAGGGUGACCGGCCACAUUGGGACUGAGACACGGCCCAGACUCCUACGGGAGGCAGCAGUGGGGAAUAUUGCACAAUGGAGGAAACUUUGAUGCAGCGACGCCGCGUGAGUGAAGAAGUAAUUCGUUAUGUAAAGAUCUAUCAGCAGGGAAGAUAGGACGGUACCUGACUAAGAAGCUCCGGCUAAAUACGUGCCAGCAGC
rnacentral:rRNA from 1 species